CGUGUAGGCGGUCUCUUAAGUCUGAUGUGAAAGCCCGGGGCUCACCCCCGGAAGUGCAUCGGAUACUGGGAGACUCGAGUACCGGAGAGGAGGGUGGAAUUCCUGGUGUAGCGGUGAAAUGCGUAGAUAUCAGGAGGAACACCGGUGGCGAAGGCGGCCCUCUGGACGGAUACUGACGCUGAGACGCGAAAGCGUGGGGAGCAAACAGGAUUAGAUACCCUGGUAGUCCACGCUGUAAACGAUGGGCACUAGGUGUUCGGGGUAUUGACCCCCUGAGUGCCGCAGCUAACGCAUUAAGUGCCCCGCCUGGGGACUACGGCCGCAAGGUUAAA
rnacentral:rRNA from 1 species